AUUUAUAUAGCUUAUACAAGAGCAAUUUACUGAAGAUAAAGAAGACUAAACAUU
rnacentral:tRNA from 1 species